GGAGGUCCACCGUACUCGUGCAGAAAAAAAGGCCUUGUUUAGUUCACCCCCAAAUCCCAACUUUGGCACUAUGCAAAAAGAAGAUUCCCCAUCACAUCAAACUUGCGGUACAUGCAUGGAGUACUAAAUAUAGACCAAAUUAAAAACUAAUUGUACAGUUUUGUUGUACUUUGCGAGAUGAAUCUUUUUAGCCUAAUUAGUCAAUGUUUGGAUAAUAAUUUACAAAUACAAAUGAAACGCUACAGUGUUACUACAGUAAUUUUGGCAUCCCAAAGUUGGACAACUAAAUAAGGCCAAAAUACACUACAAAUGUACCGUCUCUUCUCUUCCCAACCAUUUCGAAUGCAUUUGAACGUCUCUCUCCGCUCCCGUCUCCACCCUCUCUCUC
rnacentral:lncRNA from 1 species